AGGCAUGGGGAACGGAAACCCCACCCGGUUAUAAAGCCCUAAAGGAUCGACCUCGUUCGCAGCCGCAGUUAGGUUGUGAUCGGGGAUCGCAUCGUGGGCCUCUGCGGCUGGUUUGGUUUCCCAUUAUUCUUCGAUGACGAACGCAUCAUCGAAUCAAAACAAGAUUAAAGAGAAGGAAAAAUCAAAGUAUAAUCAAAUGAGGAAGGGUCCGAAACUGAUCCAAAUAAGAAAGGCAGCAGCGGCAGCCGGCUUUGUAUGGCUCGAGGAAGCGCAUAUGGUGUAGAGGGAAGGGAACCCAACGAUCGAGUGAUGCGUGUGGUAGGGUUUCCAUUUAGCUCUUAUAAACGGAUCGGAUGCACGUGCCAUUUCGAGGCUCUCGGCCUCGACAACCACCACUGAUCUUUCUUUAAAUAUUGUUUGAUAUUAAAGUCUCCCUUCGCUAAUAAAUUGUUCAUUUGUCUCC